CCUACGGGCGGCAGCAGUGGGGAAUAUUGCACAAUGGGGGGAACCCUGAUGCAGCGACGCCGCGUGAGUGAAGAAGUAUUUCGGUAUGUAAAGCUCUAUCAGCAGGGAAGAAAAUGACGGUUCCUGACUAAGAAGCCCCGGCUAACUACGUGCCAGCAGCCGCGGUAAUACGUAGGGGGCAAGCGGUAUACGGAUUUACUGGUCGUAAAGGGAGCGUAGACGGUUAUGCAAGUCUGAAGUGAAAGCCCAGGGCUCAACCAUGGGACUGCAUUGGAAACUGUAAAACUGGAGUGCAGGAGGGGGAAGCGGAAUUCCAAGUGUAGCGGUGAAAUGCGUAGAUAUGAGGAGGAACACCAGUGGCGAAGGCGGCUUCCUGGAAUGGAACUGACGUUGAGGCUCGAAGGCGUGGGGAGCAAACAGGAUUAGAUACCCGGGUAGUC
rnacentral:rRNA from 1 species